rnacentral:rRNA from 1 species
UACGUAGGUGGCGAGCGUUGUCCGGAAUUACUGGGUGUAAAGGGCGUGUAGGCGGGACUGCAAGUCAGAUGUGAAAUACCGUGGCUUAACUACGGGGGUGCAUCUGAAACUGUGGUUCUUGAGUGUCGGAGAGGAAAGUGGAAUUCCCAGUGUAGCGGUGAAAUGCGUAGAGAUUGGGAGGAACACCAGUGGCGAAGGCGGCUUUCUGGACGAUAACUGACGCUGAGGCGCGAAAGCGUGGGUAGCAAACAGGAUUAGAUACCCUGGUAGUCCACGCCGUAAACGAUGGAUACUAGGUGUAGGAGGUAUCGACCCCUUCUGUGCCGCAGUUAACACAAUAAGUAUCCCACCUGGGGAGUACGGCCGCAAGGUUGAA